rnacentral:rRNA from 1 species
GUCGAACGAAGCUCCUGCGACAGAUUCCUUCGGGAUGAAGAUGCUUGAGACUUAUUGGCGGACGGGUGAGUAACGCGUGGGUAACCUGCCCUGUACUGGGGGACAACAGUUAGAAAUGACUGCUAAUACCGCAUAAGCCUACGGAGUCGCAUGGCUCAGUAGGAAAAAUUCCAGUGGUACAGGAUGGGCCCGCGUCUGAUUAGCUAGUUGGUGAGGUAAUGGCUCACCAAGGCGACGAUCAGUAGCCGGCUUGAGAGAGUGAACGGCCACAUUGGGACUGAGACACGGCCCAAACUCCUACGGGAGGCAGCAGUGGGGAAUAUUGCACAAUGGGGGAAACCCUGAUGCAGCAACGCCGCGUGAGUGAAGAAGUAUUUCGGUAUGUAAAGCUCUAUCAGCAGGGAAGAAAAUGACGGUACCUGACUAAGAAGCACCGGCUAAAUACGUGCCAGCAGCCGCGGUAAUACGUAUGGUGCAAGCGUUAUCCGGAUUUACUGGGUGUAAAGGGAGCGUAGACGGCUGUGUAAGUCUGAAGUGAAAGCCCGGGGCUCAACCCCGGGACUGCUUUGGAAACUAUGCAGCUAGAGUGUCGGAGAGGUAAGUGGAAUUCCCAGUGUAGCGGUGAAAUGCGUAGAUAUUGGGAGGAACACCAGUGGCGAAGGCGGCUUACUGGACGAUGACUGACGUUGAGGCUCGAAAGCGUGGGGAGCAAACAGGAUUAGAUACCCUGGUAGUCCACGCCGUAAACGAUGACUACUAGGUGUCGGGGA